rnacentral:tRNA from 1 species
UGCGGUGGGUCCUGUGUUGGUACGGGAGGGCGACUGUUAAUCACUUAGACGCAGGUUCGAUUCCUGCCUCCGCAGC